ACACUUUGCAAAUCUGCUGAGGGUUCUCCUUGAAUAUUUGGCUAAUCAGUGAUCAGCACAUGCAUGUGCAGAAAAUACCACAUCCAAGCUGACCAGUUGCCAAGGAUUAUAAGUAAUGGUGCCUCGGGCCCACACAGAAGCAGAAAUAGUGCUGCGUCCACCAGUCAGACUGGAAAACCUCAAGGUGAACAGUCCAACAGACCUCAAGAAUACUGCAGUGACGAAAAACAUCUCCACCACCUGACUAGGUAAAAAAGGCGCUGCCCCACAGUGGGGACCUGGCCAUCAGCUCCAGGGCUACAUUCUUACAGCACUGGGACACAAAGGAGAAGAAAAAGAGGCUUUUCUGUCAGCUUCAGAUGGAACAAUACUGAGCAAACCUCUAAUUGCCCUGGCUUUGCUCAUGGGCUGAUCUGGGGACUAGUCCCUGGGGCCAGAGCUUGGGGGUGACAUUCACCCCAGACUGAGACUGAGUCAUGUGACUGGGCAUUACUAGAAGGAGGGUAAGAAGGGUUGCUGAACAGACCAAAGGAAAAAAAGGGCCCCUAGAGGCAAUUUAGAGAUACCAAAUCACAUAUUGAUGCUUGGCAAUGUGCUUAUACCACAAAACUAAAAAUAUUCACCACACUCCCAAGUGCCCCAUGCCUCUCCUAACUCCAGUAGCUAUCCCAAUUAUUAUUUUUGCCCAUAAAAACAUUCAAAAUUACUCAAAGCCUCCUCAAAAUUGUUUUAUUUCUUCAGCCUCAGUGCAGUUUAAUAUCUGUGGUGGAUACUGUGAUUGGUUCACUCGGGACAUCUUCCCACCUCCUUUCAGAAUUCCUCACGCCACUGCACAGUCUGGAAAGCAAACACUUCAUUUCCCCAACUCCCUUGCUCUUGGGUUCUGCGUGGGUUAGUUUCUGCCAAACAGAAGUACUGACGGGAGGCUUGUAUUUGGAACUGAGUUAAGGGGGAGGGAGGCAG